AGAGACCGGCGCACGGGUGCGUAACGCGUAUGCAAUCUACCUUUUACAGAGGGAUAGCCCAGAGAAAUUUGGAUUAAUACCUCAUAGCAUUAUAGAAUGGCAUCAUUUUAUAAUUAAAGUCACAACGGUAAAAGAUGAGCAUGCGUCCCAUUAGCUAGUUGGUAAGGUAACGGCUUACCAAGGCUACGAUGGGUAGGGGUCCUGAGAGGGAGAUCCCCCACACUGGUACUGAGACACGGACCAGACUCCUACGGGAGGCAGCAGUGAGGAAUAUUGGACAAUGGGCGCAAGCCUGAUCCAGCCAUGCCGCGUGCAGGAUGACGGUCCUAUGGAUUGUAAACUGCUUUUAUACGAGAAGAAACACUGGUUCGUGAAGCAGCUUGACGGUAUCGUAAGAAUAAGGAUCGGCUAACUCCGUGCCAGCAGCCGCGGUAAUACGGAGGAUCCAAGCGUUAUCCGGAAUCAUUGGGUUUAAAGGGUCCGUAGGCGGUUUAGUAAGUCAGUGGUGAAAGCCCAUCGCUCAACGGUGGAACGGCCAUUGAUACUGCUAGACUUGAAUUAUUAGGAAGUAACUAGAAUAUGUAGUGUAGCGGUGAAAUGCUUAGAGAUUACAUGGAAUACCAAUUGCGAAGGCAGGUUACUACUAAUGGAUUGACGCUGAUGGACGAAAGCGUGGGUAGCGAACAGGAUUAGAUACCCUGGUAGUCCACGCCGUAAACGAUGGAUACUAGCUGUUGGAAGCAAUUUCAGUGGCUA
rnacentral:rRNA from 1 species